rnacentral:rRNA from 1 species
GACGUAGGGCGCGAGCGUUGUCCGGAUUUAUUGGGCGUAAAGAGCUCGUAGGCGGCUUGUCGCGUCGGACUGUGAAAUUCCGCGGCUCAACUGCGGGUCUGCAGUCGAUACGGGCAGGCUAGAGUUCGGUAGGGGAGACUGGGAAUUCCUGGAUGUAGCGGUGAAAUGCGCAGAUAUCAGGAGGGAACACCCGGUGGGCGAAGGCGGGUCUCUGGGCC